GCGCUUGCUUGGGCAGCACAUACACUGAAGUUGGAACGAUACCGAGAAGAUUAGCAUGGCCUGCGGAAGGAUGACAUGCACAUUUGUGAAGCGUUCCACAUUUUU
ensembl:snRNA U6 U6 spliceosomal RNA